GAGAGAGAGAGAGAGAGAGAGAGAGACAAUCUGGAAUAUGUUUAAAUUUGUUGAAUUUUUUUAAUUAUUUUAAUUAUAUUUUUUAUGAAGGCUGUAAAUAUCGUAAAUGAGUAUUACUAUAUAUUUUAGUUUGUGUGGGUAUUUUUUUUUGUUUUUGUCUUUGAAAAUAUUUAAAAGCUACAAAUUAAUCAUAGAAUUUAUAUACAAGUAAGUGUUUUUUAGAUUUUAUCCUUCAAAUUGAGUAUAUAUCAUUUUGUCUCUAUAUUAUACAUUUAUACUCCCUCCGUCUUAUUUCAAGUGUCUUGUUUUUUUUUUUUUUUUUGGAUUGUCCCAAUUCAAAUAUCUUGUUUCUCUUUAUGGAAAAAAAUUAAUCUGAAAAUGUGAAAAUCUUCGGGGUCCACGUCACCUUUUAAACUUUAUACCACACCAUUUAAUAAUAUAAUUAACACAUUUUUAAAUAAUCGUGUCGAAAAGAAACAAGACACUUGAUGUAAGACGAAUGGAGUAUAUAGCAAGUGAAGCGUGAACGUGAUGGAUGCGUAUAAAUACAACUACAAGAUCCCCAAGUCAAAAAAAAAAAAA
rnacentral:lncRNA from 1 species